rnacentral:tRNA from 1 species
AUUAUUUUUGAAGACGAACACAUUAGAGCCAUUUUUUUACAAGGCGAUUCUAAUAUAUUAGUUCUCUCUUUUGG